CGCCUCGGCUAUUAGCGCGGAGUGACUGACCGCAGAUCGGUGGACGACAUGAUGACACAUUUCAAAGUUCGGGUUGACUUCACAGUCACGCCAGAGAGUGCCAAGAAAGCGAGAAGUGGAGCGGCCCGGUGGAACCGGACCAACGCUCCCGUUGGUCCUCGCUGGAUUGGUUCUCGGACAAAUACGAUACGAAGGGUGAAGCUCAGCCGGCGCCGCAGCAGGUGCACACAAACCGACGGCCUUUGGGGAUUGACUUGGUUUGGGCUUCUGCCUCAUCAUCGACGGCUUGAAUUCUCAACAGCGAAUUUCUGCGGCUUGGUUCAACAAACGCGUAGAGACCAGUUUUCUGAACGUCAAGCAGCCUCUUCGUUCAAAGGAAGCUGUGAUGAAGAGGAGUUCGGGAUGCUUCAGUUCCUGCUAUUGAAACCGGGGUUUUGGUCUAGGUGCACAUUUGCUGAAGCUAAGUGGUCUAACUGGUCAUUUGAAGGAUAAUAUAGAUAAAAACGGUAAUUUUCCGUUAAAGGUAAAAUGUGGGAUUAAAGAGGGCUGUUCUGUUCUGAGGGUUUUGAAUCACUGGAGUCCUUUUAGGAAACACUGCAGCUAUUUCAAACUAUAAAAAAGGUAAAUUGCGCACAUACACAUUUGGACAAUUACUCAUUUCUAAUAACCCGCUUCACACUUCUUGGUGAUAAUAUAAUUUCCUGCUCUUCACUGCUUCUUAAUGCAUUCAGCGUCGCCUCGGGCUACAUUCUCCAUUUGGAUUAAGUUUCUUCUUCAUACAUGUCAUUUCUUCCCCUCUCUGUCUCUCUGUCUCACUCGUCCUCUGUCUUUCUUCCUGCCGGCGUCGGCCAUUUGUCUCUGCAGGUCUGCUACCCAUUCACCAACCUCCUGCCGACAGCACAGGGGUAAACCGUCUCUCUGCUGUGAGCGUCUACUGCUGACCACCGAGACGGAGACAGUACUACAGAGGGGUGAGAUGCCAGCGGGAGUUGUUGCAUUCACCAGCAAAUCUUUGACCCGCCGAUUCCGCAACAGGGGAGGCCAAUUUCAUGCAGCAGUCGGCUUCUAUUACGAAAAACCUGAAGCAUCAGUUCCAACAGGCACAAAGGAAGAAGUGCGCCUUCGGGGCCCGUCCGCCUGAACGGGUUCUUUUCAAGACAAAACAGGAUCUUUUCCUAAACGCUAAACAGUUUUUCUGCCGAAAAAAAAGCCCCCCGAAGGCAAACUCCUCCCUCGCGCUUCCAACAACAGGACGAGACGCCUGCUGGCGGCAUCGAAGCGACGAGGAGAAGCCGGUGCGAUCAGUGGAAAUCUCACCGGAGCCCACUUGGUUCCUGCAGCACAAAAACAGACACGACUCGUUGCAUAGUUACAUUUAUCUCCAUCAGAGGAUGAAACUCUGAGGAGGCCUCUCUAGCUUCAGAUGUUUCUCCAUCAGUGGCUGGCUCCAGAUCAGAUCGAGAGGCAGAAGCUUGUGUUCGCCGCAGAGCGAGAGCUCCAACUCUCGCUGAUGACCUUGUUUUCUCCAAACUGUAUUUCAGAGGUCUGGAA
ensembl:lncRNA